CAACAGCUGGCAGGGGAGAUACCAUGAUCACAAAGGUGGUUUUCCCAGGGUGAGGCUCAUCCAUUGCACUGUGGGUGUGCUGACCCCUGCGAUUUCCCCAAAUGCGGGAAACUCGACUGCAUAAUUUGUGGUAGUGGGGGACUGCGUUUGUGCUAAAAAAAACCCAAA
ensembl:snRNA U1 U1 spliceosomal RNA